rnacentral:lncRNA from 1 species
ACGUCUCCAUUUCUCUCUCAAAUUUCUUCAUCUUUCACUCAUUCUCUUGCCAAAAUCAAUCAUCCAACUCAUUAUUCAUCCAUUACUCCUUCAAUUUUCACUCUCAAAACUUGAUUUCAUUAUCUCUCCACAUAAAACCCAAAAUCAAAAACCUAACUUACCCAUUUCUUUCUCUUCCAAUUUAAGCUCUUUUUAGUCCACUUUUGAUCCAAUCAACACCAUCCAUUAUCUUAAAUCAUCUCUUGGAUCAAUAUAAUCAGUUUAAAAUAAUCCAUUUCACUCAUUAUUUUACAAAACCGAGUUUGUGCAUUUUGGGUAUUUUAAAUUACCAUGGUUCCUUAUUAUAUUAUGCACCUACAUUUUCAUAUGCAUAAUUGUUUUAAUUGUAGAUUACGGAUGAUGGUUGUUUAAUAUUUGGAUAACUUAUAUUUGGAUGAUAUUUUCUGAAUUCGCCAAGACGGAUGUACGGUACAGCAGUAACCAUGUUGUAUAUUUAAGGAUUUGUUCAUUUUAAGGGGAGAUUCUGCCGAAAUUUUUGCUCGCACAAAAUUGGUAAUAUCUUUAUCGAAUUAUUUUUGAUGCUCUUGUUUCGAUUGCAUCUAUCUAUUUUUUAUGAAGGGGAAGAUAAAUAUGAUAUGUUUUUGGAUAAUAUUACAUCUAUCUAUUUUCUUAUUUAGGGGGAGAUAAAUAUGAUAUGUUUUUGGAUAAUAUCAUUUUGGUUAAAUUUUUUAAUUGGCCAUAUAUUUAGGGGGAGCAUACAAUAUGAUUUUGGAUAAUAUGCAUUUUGAGCAUUCUUUUGAUGGGUUGAUGGUUCAUGAUCAUUUUAUGGUUAAUUGGAUGUUUGGUUAUUAUAUGUUUCUUGAUUAACCAUUGACAUAUUAUCGAUCUUCACAUGAAUUUCUAGUAAUUUUGAUGAUGAAGGGGGAGAAGUCAUGUAUUUUGAAUAUGAAGACAUAUAAUACGUAUUUUGUAUUUCAAGUAUUUAUGCAUGGUUUUGAAAUAUUAAGGGGGAGCUUACAAAUUAUCAUAAAUCAAAUAUUCAGGGGGAGUUUUUGUUUUGAAUUUGAUUUAUAUGUUUAAUUAUAUAUGCCAUGUAUUAAGGGGGAGUACAAAUGUCAAAAUACAUGAGAUGUUUGUCAUCAUCAAAAAGGGGGAGAUUGUUAGCCUAAAGGGCUAUACAUAAUAUAAUUUUGAUGAUAACAAACAUAUGUAUUAAGUGAUUUAAUAAAUAUUGUAUUUCACAUUUUCACUAGUUUUUGAAGGAUAAUAUUUAUGCAAGUGAAUCAAGUGAAAUCAAGAUUGAAGACACUCAACGGACAACGGCGACAUCAAGAAUAGUCUGGAGCUCAACGAAUAAAUUAGUGCGAUAAAUUCUUGUAAAGCCGGUAUGAUUUAAUUGAUGCAUGAUUUAGAAUUUGAGAAGCUCAAGAGAUUAAUUUAAUUAAAUACUUUUCAUAAACUAAAAGUUUUAUUUUUAUAAAGUAAAGUAUUUUGUGGAUUUAAGUAAUUUGGACUUAAAUGCUAAGAUUUGAAAUCUUUGAUUUUAAAUAAGUAUUAAAUUUUGGAGUUGGACGUUUUUACAAAUAUUUGAAAUGUUUUGGGCCAUACUAUAAUUUAUGAAUAUGUUGGACUAAAGUGAAAGGUUUUGAGAACUUUGAAAAAUAUGGGUAUUAUGUUGAAAAGGACCUUUGUACGAAAUAAUAAAAUCAUUGGGGCCAUAUCAUAAUUUUAGAAAGUUUGGGAAAGACGACUAUUCUUAGGAAGUUCUGAAAUUGGAUCUAUUUGUAAAGUUUUAUGACAUUUUGAGCCAUAGUAUAAUUAUAGAAAGUUUUGGGUCAAAGUAUAAAUUUAGUGAACAGAGUUACUGUAGCAAAUUCAAAAAUAACGGUAAUAUCACUGUUCCUGAGCGGCUAGCCGGAUAAUCAAGCGGCUAACCGCUUGGGCGCGGGAAUUUACCUAUAACGGCUAGUUUUCGGGCUUUCACUAUUAAAACUCAACUCAAACUUCAUUCCUUAAACGAAUGCAAGGAAAAACAAGAUCAUAUAACAUAUAUUGAGCUUCCAUUUCGCAAAUCAUCAUUGAUUGAAUGAUCAUUGAGCUAUAAUUUGUUAUCUACUCUUAAAGAGAGUUUCAUUGUUGUGAUUUUCAUUUCUCAUCAAAUUGUGAGUGUACAAGUGUGAGAAACAAUUGGGGUGAAGAGAUUGGGGAGAUAAUCUCUUGUUGUAAAGGUUCAUUGACACCUUAGAAGUCAAUUGUAAACAUUUGAAGCCUUGGGAGGUUUGGAUAGUGAAAUCCUCAAGCCAGGUGUGCUUGGAGGCGUGGACGUAGGCAGGGAUAGCCGAACCACGUAAAAAUCCUUGUGUUUGUUUUCUCUUCCCUUACUCUUUUAAUAUUGUGCUUGAUUGAAUUUAUUAUUUUUUGAUUUGAUUAAGGCAAUAGAUUAAAUUGUUGUGCGAAUUGUAUUGCAUAAUUUUAAAAACCCAAUUCACCCCCCCUCUUGGGUUGCAUAACUUGCAUUUCAAGAACUUGUAACUUUUGGAUCUUUUAGUUUUUAUUGGUUGGAUACAAUAUUAUGACUUGAGCGUCGGAAGGUUUUCACCGAAAUAACUUCCAGCACCCCCUGACUGUUCUUUGUGCUUGCAUGCUCGCGGGUUAUUUGCUCAUGGAUCAUCUGCUCAUAGAACAUCUGCUCACGGUGCUCACUGAUCAGCAGCUCGUGGAUUAUCUGCUCAUGGUGCUCACUGAUCAGCAGCUCAUAGAUUAUCGGCUCAUGGAUUAUCUGUUCAUGGUUAGAGGAUUUUCUUGGAGAUUAAUAAGUCGCUUCUCCACCAAACAAAUUUAUUGCUGAUGCGGGGAUGUGGUAUUGAGUCAACAACUGACUCGACUUUAUUUCUGCAUCAAUAUAAAGUAUUAAUCAGCUUAAUUAAUUUAUAAAAUUUAAAUCUAAUUAAUAAGUGACACAUAAAUGCCAAGUGCAAUAUAUGCAAAUCAUGUUUGUCGAUCAUUACAAAACUGGCUCUUGAAAACAAGCAAGAAAGCUUAAUUAAGAACUUAAAACAAAAAGAAUUAGAUUGAGGACAGUCAAGCCUUAUUUUUUCAAGGAUGGAGCUUAUAAAUCUUCAAGUACCAACAUAUGCUUGGCCCAAUUGUUGUUAUUAAAAUUUCAAAAUAUAAGUAUGACAUAGCAAAAAUUUGAUGGUACAUGUGUCGGAAUAUACUAGCUAGUUCAUGGAUGCAUUUGAUUAUUGUUUCCAUAAAUUUGAACCAAGAAGGAUGACACAAUAAAAUUUGAUUUUAUUAUAUGGUUGAUUUCAUAUCUCAUGCACUCAUUUCUUAAGAUAAUCAGAUUUUCUCUGACAUCUUUUGCAAAUGUGGAAAUAUCAAUUAUGAUCAAUCAAAACGAUCUCAAAACCUUUCAACGAGACAUAUUCAUAAUACAAUAUUGUGAAAAUUACACCAAAAAUUUGAUUUAUUAUAUAUUAUUAUCCAACGAGCACACAAAAAUGAAUUCAUACAAAUCUAAAAUACUUAGCAAUUUUCAAAUAGAAUUUACCAUGUACUACAAGAAAAUAUGGUAUAUGUGACCCCUAAUGCGAAUGCAAAAGCAGCCAUUACGUAUAUCACUAAGAGCCUGUUUGGUAUGGCUUAUUUAAGAGCCAUAAGUGCUUAUUUAAUCGUAUAAGCGCUUUUUAAAAUUUUUUAUGGUGUUUGGUUAUUUUUUUAAUAGAGUUUUUUUAGCUUAAAUAAGCUAAUUUACCUCUACUAGGAAAAGCCCAAAAUUUGAGCUUUUGGGAGUAGAGGUUAUAAAGCUUUUCUAAAUAUAUAUAAUAUAAAAAAUAUCAUAUAGUUUCAUGGUUCAAAAAUACUUUUUUUAUUGACAACCAAACACCCAAUAAUUUUUUGUCCAAAAACUCUAUUGGCAUAAGCUCUACUGUUAUAAGCUCUAUUUAAUAAGCUGUACCAAACGGAGCCUUAGUUACGUUUAAAGUUUUUUACUAUAUAUUGCUGAUUCUAUAUUAAUAAUGUUACGUUCUAUUUUCAGAAAUUAUAAUAUAAACUGAAUUAACUUGUAGAAUAAGAGCUUGGAGUAGUGUUAUGUUCUUGAAUAAAUGAAAGUCCAUAUUGUGUAAGAGCAUGUAGAUGUAAAGCGCAUUGCCAUUUCUAUAAAGGACUUUCAUUCUGUUCAGAUGCUCCUCUUGAACUCUGAAAGGUGCCUCAUUCAAGUCCUAGCUAUAACUACUAGCUUUGAUUAAUUAAUUUCCUGUACUAGCAGAAACAGAUUUAUUUAUUUAAAUAAUUGUCUAUGUACUAAUUAUAAUGAAAGUAUAUGAAGAAAUUUUUUAACAUGAAUGACUUCUAAAUGACUUAAAAACCUAAAGGAUAUGAGAAAUAAUGCUCAUUUCACUUGAACGAGCCUAUUAAUACUUGUAUGUCUAUGAUUCUUAAUAUUGGCUUAAGCAUUUCAGUAAAUGGUUUACAUAACAGAUUUCAGUUAAAUGGUUUACAUAACAGGGAAAAAAAUUUAAAUGAAAACUUUAGAGUUCUAACAGAAAUAUAAUUGACUAUGCAGAUAUAGUUAUUUUAUGGUAUACAAAUCAUGUUGCCUUAAUCUCAAUGUCCUAUGACCUAUUUUAUUUUAUAUAGUCGUUCAUUUUUGCCAUCGCUUUUUGUGUUUAUGAGUAUGGAAGUAGUGGGAUUUGGUGUAUCUUAGCAUCUUUGGAAAAUUCUCUUUAAAUGUGGCAAACAAAAAUAUACAUAUAAUCAAGUUUCUUAAUCAACUAUCAUAACUGGCUAGCUAGUUCUUGCCUGCCUUGCUGCCAUUACCCAGGCCAUUACAUUGCAUAGCAUAAGGAAUAGUGAUUAGGUGCUUAUUAGUGAUUCGUUGAGCUUAUUAUUGACAAACCAACAUAUUCGCCUUUACCCACAACUUAGUUUGAUUAGUUAUUGUUGUGUAAUAGACCAAGUUCGUAACCCAACUGAAGCAAUUAAUCAGAUUUACAAAACAAGCAAGAACCCAGAAAACGAACCAGGGGAUACAGUCAAGUAACCAAGAACAAGAAAGAAAACUUAAUCAAGAGAUACAAAACAGAGGUUAACGUGGUUCAGUACCAUGAGUACUUACAUCCACGAUCAGGAACAGUAGAGCUAAAGCUUUAUUAGGAGAUAUCAAGAUUACAAUGGAAUCCACUCAGAGCAAGAAACUAAACUCACACAGAGAAUCUUUCUCAACUCACAAACUAUCUCACUUGACUAACUGAUCAGCUCUCUCUCUCACUGAAGCUAUAAAGCUAGCAGUUUACAGCUGGUUAUAACGACUAACUAAAACCACCUGGGGACCCACCCAUGCUGACUCAGCUUUCCAGCUCAGCUAAUAUAUAUAACCGAAUGUAACUAACUUGAUUCCACAAAUCUCCACCUUAGUUAACUCGGUUAUGGCUUUACUCAUCACUGCUCCAUCACCAGUUAACUUGUCUCACAAGUUAAUAACCCCAAUCAAGUCCAAGGAGUUCCUGAACUUAACUGUUGGCAAAGGUUUUGUUAGCAUGUCUGCUGGAUUUACUUCAGUAGGAAUUUUAAUGACAUUGAUUACACCAUUUCGAAUUUCUUCCCUGAUAAAGUGCAUCCUCACAUCCACAUGUUUUGUUCUUUCAUGGUACUUGGGGUUUUUGCUCAACUGUAUAGCACUUGAGCUAUCACAAUUGACAGUGACUGAUUCUUGUUCCAAACCCAGUUUUGUAACUAACCCCUUCAACCAUAAUGCUUCUUUCACAGCCUCUGUUAAAGCAAUAUACUCUACCUCUGUUGUUGAGAGAGCAAUUACUGAUUGUAAUGUUGACUUCCAGCUCACAGCUCCACCACAGAGAGUAAACACAAGACCAGUGACUGACCUUCUCCUAUCUAAAUCUCCUGCAAAGUCAGAAUCAACAGAUCCCACAACUUGGCUAGAUGCAUUACUAACUUGUCCAAACAUUACUCCAUACUCUUCAGUACUUUUAAGAUACCUUAGUAGCCAUUUAACAGCUUCCCAAUGUUCCUUGUCUGGAUUCCCCAUGAACCUGCUGACAAGACCAAUUCCAUAGGCAACAUCUGGUCUGGUACAGACCAUAGCAUACAUAAUGCUACCAACUGCACUGGAGUAGGAAUUCUCCUCAUGAGAUCAAUGUCUGCUUCUUCUCCUGGUUCCUGCUGUUUAGAAAGUUUGAAGUGUGCUGCUACUGGGGUAGUGACAGGCUUUGAGUUCACCAUCCCAAAUCUACUGACAACCUUUUUCAAAUAUCCAGAUUGUGUGAGAAAUAGAGUCUUGGCAUGUCUGUCCCUUUUGAUUUGCAUUCCCAGUAUCUUAGCAGCAGGACCCAAAUCCUUUAUUUCAAACACUGCCAUUAGCUCAGUGGGUGAGGAUAUUUCUUUACAGAAGGUAUUGGAAACUGUUUUUUACAUUAAUUAUUGUUGUAUAUAUACUUUAAUUUUCACAUCUUUUUCUCUGAUUCUUGUCACUUUACUUGCUUUCAUAUACAUAAAUUCUAAUGAAAUUAACCAUAAAAUUGUAUAAUGAUUUUGGGGCCAUAUCAUAAUUUUAGAAAGUUUGGGAAAGACGACUAUUCUUAGGAAGUUCUGAAAUUGGAUCUAUUUGUAAAGUUUUAUGACAUUUUGAGCCAUAGUAUAAUUAUAGAAAGUUUUGGGUCAAAGUAUAAAUUUAGUGAACAGAGUUACUGUAGCAAAUUCAAAAAUAACGGUAAUAUCACUGUUCCUGAGCGGCUAGCCGGAUAAUCAAGCGGCUAACCGCUUGGGCGCGGGAAUUUACCUAUAACGGCUAGUUUUCGGGCUUUCACUAUUAAAACUCAACUCAAACUUCAUUCCUUAAACGAAUGCAAGGAAAAACAAGAUCAUAUAACAUAUAUUGAGCUUCCAUUUCGCAAAUCAUCAUUGAUUGAAUGAUCAUUGAG